rnacentral:rRNA from 1 species
GAUGAACGCUGGCGGCGUGCCUAAUACAUGCAAGUCGAGCGAACAGACGAGAGUGCUUGCACUCUCUGACGUUAGCGGCGGACGGGUGAGUAACACGUGGGUAACCUACCUAUAAGACUGGGAUAACUUCGGGAAACCGGAGCUAAUACCGGAUAAUAUUUAGCUUCGCAUGAAGCAAUAGUGAAAGACGGUUCUGCUGUCACUUAUAGAUGGACCCGCGGUGUAUUAGCUAGUUGGUGAGGUAACGGCUCACCAAGGCAACGAUACAUAGCCGACCUGAGAGGGUGAUCGGCCACACUGGGACUGAGACACGGCCCAGACUCCUACGGGAGGCAGCAGUAGGGAAUCUUCCGCAAUGGACGAAAGUCUGACGGAGCAAUGCCGCGUGAGUGAAGAAGGUUUUCGGUUCGUAAAACUCUGUUGUAAGGGAAGAACAAGUACGUUAGUAACUGAACGUACCUUGACGGUACCUUACCAGAAAGCCACGGCUAACUACGUG